AGGGUUUUAUGGGAUUUCUUUGUAAAGACUUACCAUACUAUUGAAGCAAGGAACCAGAUAUGGCUAUAGAGGACAAAGAAAAAAAAGGCUGUGUGGUAAUAUAAUAGACUUUGCAGUACCAUAUGAUAAUAGAAUGGAUAU